rnacentral:lncRNA from 12 species
UAAGAAAAGAAGAGGGAAAGAAGGGAAGGAGGGAGGGAAGAAAGGAAGGAGGGAAGGAGGGAAGCAAGGGAAGAAGGAAAGAGGAAAAGAAAGAAGGAAAGAAGAAAUUGAAUUUGGAAUGUCAAAAAUUCAUUCUUGAUCUUUAUUUCAGUCAAGCAGAAUCACACCUUAGACAGGCUGAAUGAUGCCCUUUUAUAUACGUCUAGUACAUAGAGUUUGUUCCCAAAUGUCUACCUCAAUAAAUACUUUAAAAGGUUUUAUAUGAAGUUUCCAGGAAGGACUCUUUGGCCUAGAUUGCCCAAGGGAUGAGUUUCAUAACUAAAAGAGGGAACCCUUUCUAUCACCAACCACACCCUUUGCCCCAUCUCUACUGAAUGACUUGAUUUUCCUCCAACACAGCCCAGCAUUUGCUGUAUGCCUUCUUCUUACAGGCUCUUCCCCCCAUCUGAUAUGCCCUUAGAGACAGGGACUGUGUCUCAUUUGUCUUUAUAACCCCACCACCUGGGGCAUCUGGGUGGUUCAGUCAGUUAAGCGUCUGCCUUUCAUGAUCCCAGGCUCCUGGGAUCAAACCCCAUGUCUGUAACUGCCCCUUCCCCCGGCUUGUGCUCUCUUGUGUGCUCUCUCUCUCAAGUAAAUAAAUAUAACCCUACCACCUAACACUGUACCUGACACAUAGGAGAUAAUAAAACCUGUGGAAUAAAUGGCUUGCUCAUUACUAACUUGUUUAUCAUCUGUGUCCUCUGCAUCUCCUGCCUUCUCCCCUAGCCACCACCCUGCCACAACCAGAAUGUAAGCCCUGGGCAAUGACCUCAGCUGUUUCAUUAUGACUGAGUCUGCAGAGCUCAGAUCAGAGCCUGGCACAUUAUGGGUGUUCGGUAAAUAUCUGUUGAAUCAGUCAGGGCAUGAAGAAUUCCCACAAACUCACCCAGCAAGAUUCAGAUUGGGCCCCCAGUGCUGGAUCCCAGGCACACACCAACAACUAAAAUGUAUUAUAGCAUGA